rnacentral:rRNA from 1 species
UGGGGGAUAUUGCACAAUGGGCGAAAGCCUGAUGCAGCGACGCCGCGUGGGGGAUGAAGGCUUUAGGGUUGUAAACCUCUUUCGCUAUCGAACAAGGCCCGCUUAGGGUGGGUUGAGGGUAGGUGGAGAAGAAGCGCCGGCUAACUACGUGCCAGCAGCCGCGGUAAUACGUAGGGCGCGAGCGUUGUCCGGACUUAUUGGGCGUAAAGGGCUUGUAGGCGGCUUGUUGCGCCUGCUGUGAAAACGCGGGGCUUAACUUCGCGCGUGCAGUGGGUACGGGCAGGCUUGAGUGUGGUAGGGGUGACUGGAAUUCCAGGUGUAGCGGUGGAAUGCGCAGAUAUCUGGAGGAGCACCGAUGGCGAAGGCAGGUCACUGGGCCAUUACUGACGCUGAGGAGCGAAAGCAUGGGUAGCGAACAGG